GUGUCAGCAGCCGCGGUAAUACAGAGGUCCCGAGCGUUGUUCGGAUUUACUGGGCGUAAAGGGUGCGUAGGUGGUCGGGCGUGUCUGAUGUGAAAGCCCCGGGCCCAACCCGGGAACGGCAUCGGAAACUGCCUGGCUGGAGGGUUGGAGGGGGGACUGGAAUUCCCGGUGUAGCAGUGAAAUGCGUAGAUAUCGGGAGGAACGCCAGUGGCGAAGGCGAGUCCCUGGACAACACCUGACACUGAGGCACGAAAGCUAGGGGAGCAAACAGGAUUAGAAACCCCCGUAGUCC
rnacentral:rRNA from 1 species